UGCGAACACGAGUCGCUGGUGUAAAGAUAAUUCCACUUUAGCUAGUGCUUUUUAUCUGUUCGCAGAGCAAAUGCGCUUCGCCCAAGCAUAACCCAAAUUUAUUAUAUCAAAAAUUUGCGGUGCAUAUUUUUUUCGUGAAGCCAACA
rnacentral:snoRNA from 1 species